rnacentral:rRNA from 1 species
GCAUUUGCCGGCGUGCUAAUACAUGCAAGUCGAGCGAACGGAUAAGGAGCUUGCUCCUUUGAAGUUAGCGGCGGACGGGUGAGUAACACGUGGGUAACCUACCUAUAAGACUGGAAUAACUUCGGGAAACCGGAGCUAAUGCCGGAUAACAUAUAGAACCGCAUGGUUCUAUAGUGAAAGAUGGUUUUGCUAUCACUUAUAGAUGGACCCGCGCCGUAUUAGCUAGUUGGUAAGGUAAUGGCUUACCAAGGCGACGAUACGUAGCCGACCUGAGAGGGUGAUCGGCCACACUGGAACUGAGACACGGUCCAGACUCCUACGGGAGGCAGCAGUAGGGAAUCUUCCGCAAUGGGCGAAAGCCUGACGGAGCAACGCCGCGUGAGUGAUGAAGGUUUUCGGAUCGUAAAACUCUGUUAUUAGGGAAGAACAAAUGCGUAAGUAACUGUGCGCAUCUUGACGGUACCUAAUCAGAAAGCCACGGCUAACUACGUGCCAGCAGCCGCGGUAAUACGUAGGUGGCAAGCGUUAUCCGGAAUUAUUGGGCGUAAAGCGCGCGUAGGCGGUUUCUUAAGUCUGAUGUGAAAGCCCACGGCUCAACCGUGGAGGGUCAUUGGAAACUGGGAAACUUGAGUGCAGAAGAGGAAAGUGGAAUUCCAUGUGUAGCGGUGAAAUGCGCAGAGAUAUGGAGGAACACCAGUGGCGAAGGCGACUUUCUGGUCUGUAACUGACGCUGAUGUGCGAAAGCGUGGGGAUCAAACAGGAUUAGAUACCCUGGUAGUCCACGCCGUAAACGAUGAGUG